AUUGAACGCUGGCGGCAGGCCUAACACAUGCAAGUCGAACGAGUCGCGGACGGGUGAGUUAUGUCUGGGAAACUGCCUGAUGGAGGGGGUCAACUACUGGAAACGGUAGCUAAUACCGUAUACCAUCAGAUGUGCCGAGAUGGGAUUAGCUUGUUGGUGGGGUAAAGGCGCACCAAGGCGACGAUCCCUAGCUGGUCUGAGAGGAUGACCAGGCACACUGGAACUGAGACACGGUCCAGACUCCUACGGGAGGCAGCAGUGGGGAAUAUUGGACAAUGGGCGCAAGCCUGAUGCAGCCAUGCCGCGUGUGUGAAGAAGGCCUUCGGGUUGUAAAGUACUUUAAGCGGGGAGGCGUUACCCGCAGAAGAAGCACCGGCUAACUCCGUGCCAGCAGCCGCGGUAAUAC
rnacentral:rRNA from 1 species